AGAGUUUGAUCCUGGCUCAGGAUGAACGCUGGCGGCGUGCUUAACACAUGCAAGUCGAACGAUCCUUCGGGAUAGUGGCGGACGGGUGAGUAACGCGUGGGAAUCUGCCCUCAGGAGGGGGAUAACGGCUGGAAACGGCCGCUAAUACCCCAUAUGCCGAGAGGUGAAAUGAAUUUCGCCUGAGGAUGAGCCCGCGUCUGAUUAGCUAGUUGGUGGGGUAAAGGCCUACCAAGGCAACGAUCAGUAGCUGGUCUGAGAGGAUGAUCAGCCACACUGGGACUGAGACACGGCCCAGACUCCUACGGGAGGCAGCAGUGGGGAAUUUUCCGCAAUGGGCGAAAGCCUGACGGAGCAACGCCGCGUGAGGGAUGAAGGCCUCUGGGCUGUAAACCUCUUUUCUCAAGGAAGAAGACCUGACGGUACUUGAGGAAUAAGCCACGGCUAAUUCCGUGCCAGCAGCCGCGGUAAUACGGGAGUGGCAAGCGUUAUCCGGAAUUAUUGGGCGUAAAGCGUCCGCAGGCGGCCUUGUAAGUCUGUUGUUAAAGCGUGGAGCUCAACUCCAUUUAAGCAAUGGAAACUACAAGGCUGGAGUGUGGUAGGGGCAGAGGGAAUUCCCGGUGUAGCGGUGAAAUGCGUAGAUAUCGGGAAGAACACCAGUGGCGAAGGCGCUCUGCUGGGCCAUAACUGACGCUCAUGGACGAAAGCCAGGGGAGCGAAAGGGAUUAGAUACCCCUGUAGUCCUGGCCGUAAACGAUGAACACUAGGUGUCGGGGGAAUCGACCCCCUCGGUGUCGUAGCCAACGCGUUAAGUGUUCCGCCUGGGGAGUACGCACGCAAGUGUGAAACUCAAAGGAAUUGACGGGGGCCCGCACAAGCGGUGGAGUAUGUGGUUUAAUUCGAUGCAACGCGAAGAACCUUACCAGGGUUUGACAUCCUGCGAACCCCUGAGAAAUCGGGGGGUGCCUUCGGGAGCGCAGAGACAGGUGGUGCAUGGCUGUCGUCAGCUCGUGUCGUGAGACGUUGGGUUAAGUCCCGCAACGAGCGCAACCCACGUCUUUAGUUGCCAGCAUUCAGUUGGGCACUCUAGAGAGACCGCCGGUGAUAAACCGGAGGAAGGUGUGGAUGACGUCAAGUCAUCAUGCCCCUUACAUCCUGGGCUACACACGUACUACAAUGCUACGGACAAAGGGCAGCAAGCUCGCGAGAGUUAGCAAAUCCCAUAAACCGUGGCUCAGUUCAGAUCGUAGGCUGCAACUCGCCUACGUGAAGGAGGAAUCGCUAGUAAUCGCAGGUCAGCAUACUGCGGUGAAUACGUUCCCGGGCCUUGUACACACCGCCCGUCACACCAUGGAAGUUGGCCAUGCCCGAAGUCGUUACUCCAACCCUCGUGGAGGA
rnacentral:rRNA from 1 species